CCAUUGAGGUGAAAUAAAAACAUUUUAACCAUUUAAAACCCAUACUCAUAAAGCCUUGAAAUAUUAUAAUAAAUGAGGGCUUAAUCCCAAAAUAUUUCUUUUAAAGUCCAUCAAUAAAUUUAAAUAAAAGAACGGACUUCAUUUAAAAUAAAUAGUCCCAACUUUCAAUAUUAAAAUUUAAAUCAAGAGAUUUAAAUUCACUAAAAUAAUUUAGUGAAAAUUCAAACAUUUUUAAAAGAAAUAAGGCCAAAAUUUCGUAGGCCCUAUUAUUCAAAUGACAGCCCAAAAUUAAUUAAAUUUGAGCCCAUAACAAAAAAAUUAAAUGCCCAACAGAAUUUAUAGCAAAUUUGGGUCCAGCAGAAAUAAUUAAAAUCGGCCCAACAACUAUAAAAAUUUGGCCCAAUGGGAAAGAAAAUGGGCUUGAGCCCCAAUUAACCCUAACCUUAAUACAUACAAACACAUUACACACACACAACUUACACGCCUCUCUCUCUACUCUCUCCCUCUCGGCUCCCUCUCUCGUCUCUCCCUCUCUGUUCGGCUGAGGGCGGCGCCGCCUCCGGCGCGCCUCCUCGCCGUCGCCUCCUCCCCUCCCUUCUCACUCCCUCGGUCUCACUCUCUAUCUCUGAUCUCUCUCGUCGGAACUGCUGUACGCCUCCGCCUCCGCCUCCGCCUCCGCCUCCGCCUCCGCCAUGGCAGAACACGGCUCUCACCGGUUGCCAUCGUUUCUUGGCCGUUCUCGGCCCUAAAACAGGUCGGCAGAGGUCACUCCUCCACUGCAUGUGCCGUCUUCGACCGUUUGAGAAGCCGAGCGUCGCCGCGCCGCUUCCCCUGUCCUCCACCGUGGCAGGAAAGAUAAGUCCGUCCUU
rnacentral:lncRNA from 1 species